GAAAAUGAUGGUUCACCCCUUUCCCUUAUUA
rnacentral:tRNA from 1 species